AACCCUAGGGUUAAGGAGCCAAAACAUGCUAUGAUCCUUGAGGCAAUGCACUUGUGCAAUAACAUGAUGCCAUGAGGGAUAUUAGGGUCAAAAUUAGGGUCUUACAGAUAGUUUACCCCUACUUCAAAUAACUUUGUCAUUUGACUUGUGGAUGAACUCCUAUUUUGUUAAUUUGUGAUUCAUCUGACACAUUGCUAUUUCAUUUUGUUUAUACUAACCUACUAACCC
rnacentral:lncRNA from 1 species